rnacentral:lncRNA from 1 species
CGAUCACAAGGUGAGGUCCCACAAUAGGUCAUCCGCAAGCUGAGGACCAAGGAAGACAGCCUGAGUCCCAAAACCCCAAAAGUAGGGAAGCUGACAGUGCAGCCUUCAGUCUGUGGUUGAAGGUCCAAGAGUCCCUUGGACCAAGUUGAAGAACUUGGAGUCAAAUGUUCAAGGGCAGGAAGCAUCCAGCACGGGAUAAAAACGGAGGCCGGAAGGCUAAGCCAGUCUAGUCCUUCCACGCUCCUCUGCCUGCUUGUAUCCUCGCAGCACUGGCAGCUGAUUAGAUGGUGCCCACCCUGACUGAUGAGGGUGGGUCUGCGUUUCCCAGUCCGCUGACUCAAAUGUUAAUCUUUUUUGACAACACCCUCACAAACACACCCAGGAACAAUACUUUGCAUCCUUCAGUCCAAUCAAGUUGAUACAAUAUUAACCAUCACAGAUUAAAAGGAAGAAAUUGAAGCCUUUUCAUUCCAAUAAUAGACUUUUGGUGCUAGACUGUGUGAUAAGAAAGCAGAUAACAGAGAUGACAGCUGAGAACAAGUUAAACUCCAAGAGCACCUAAAUGAAUCACAUCUACAGGUCAAGAACAGAGCUGUUGGAUUUUCUGCAUAUCCUGAAUCAGACGCCUCCCAUUCAUCUCUGGUCCAUAACCAGGCUCUUCUGCCUUCACUGCCUUUGCCGUCUAACUCUGGAGCACAAAUGAGAUGAUUCCACCAAGCUUCUCAAAAUCUUAUGUGGAAUCAAAUGAAAAGUAUCAAAGUCUCCAGCUGGAUCCUUAGCAUCUAUGGUAUCUCAUUUUCUCCACGGAAACAAGGAAGGGCUCCCCAUUCAUGGAGAAAUACCAGUUUCAUUUUAAGCAUGACUACUGAUGUCCAUGGCAAGUCUGCUGACUGAAAAGAAAGUGUUUAUUGAUUCAACCUUUCCAUAACCCUUUACUAAAGUAAACAUGUCUGAGACAACUAAGCAAAACAUCAAAUUUCACUCAACUACCAUGUGGCCUUCUUUACUUAAAAAACUUGGCAUGGGCCACUACUCCAGCCAGGGUCCCAGGAGCACAGAGGACCUGCCUUUUAAAUGGUACAAUAAUAUCCACCACCACCGAUUUUCACUCCCAUCACUAUGGGCACCCAUCUCUACUGCCUUCCCAAUAUCUUUGGUUAAUUACUGGUGCCUAAAAUGUUAGUAAUGUCCUCAUUAUAAUACAGGUUAAUAUGGGGCAUUUUCAUCUCAUUUUAAGUUGAUAUAAACAUCUUUUCUUGGAAGAUGAGAGAACAAGUCUGCACAGUUUCAACACUUUUGAAAAAUCUUACCUUGUUGAUAAUUGUGCAGUCUUGCAUUUAUUAUUACUUCCAGAUUUGAUCCAAAAUAAGAAUCUUAGGGUGGCAAUGCCAUAAUCCCUAACUGCGCAUCAUCUUCUUCUAUACUGAAACCUGGAUUUUACCCAACAUGGAGAAAUUAAUAAAAUACCCUCACAUUCUGUGAUAUAACUUUCAUAAUAUAUCCAUCAUCACCGGAGGGAGAAAAUGGUUAAAGACAUGUGUAUACAAGAGAUACAAUUCUGCAUAUAUUUAUAUUUAUACUUAUUUAUUCAUUCAACAAAUAUUUAUUGGCCAUCUACUAUGUACGAAGCACCAUACUAGGCACUAAAAACAAUGAUACAGAAUACACAUUUUCUUUGGGAACUUUUCCAAGGGAUAUGAAAAAGUAUGGAUAACAUACCCAGGCUAGUGAAAUAUAAGAAAUGUUUUAGUCAAUUUUAUUGUUUUGCCUAGUACCCCAUUCAGGAAGUUUUCUCCCAAAGGUCCAGCUCAUUGGAAAGUAAAUAAUGGUAUCUUGCCCCCUCAUCAACCCAUCAGUGUCAAGUUGAGUAAUAAAUAUUGACCAUUCAACCCAAGAUGGUCUAAGUUAAAUAUCAAACUGCCAAAAAUGGUAGUUAAGAAUAUAUAUUCUGAAAUAUGUCUGCCUAGGUUAGAAUUCAGGUUCUUCCUCUCGUUAUGUGCAUUAUGUGACUUAAUUAUUGAAUAAUUAAGUUAUUCAAUUUCUCUAUGCCUCAAUGUUGUCAUCUGUGAAUUUACGUGAUAAUAGAACUAGUGGUUUAUUGUUGGGAUUAAUGAGAGAAUACAUUUUAAGUUUAGAAAAAGGGAAUGGGCCAUACUAAAAAAAAAAAAACAUUAAUUAUUGCUAUUACAGUUGAGUCCUGUUGGCACAAGAACUGGGAAGAUAUAAAGGAGCUAAAGUGAUAUUCUUUCUCCUCCAUCUACGAGAAUAGAGAAAAGUGAUGGAGGGGGUAAUCAGAAAAAGAGAGAGAGAGACAGACAGACAGAAACAUACACACAGACACACACACACACACACACACACACACACACACACACACACACACAGAGUUAGAGAGAGUCAGUAAUCACAGAGAUAGAGAUGAAGAGAAGAGUUUCUAUCAGUAUGUCAAUUAGAGUCCAAGAAGGAAACAGAUGCCACACUCACAUACAGCUAAUUUAAGGAGGGCUUAGUUAGCAGGAUAAGUGGAAGGAGUAGUAGCUGUAAUGAGAAAUGCAAGAUUCUAAUAAUUCAUCAUAUGAAACUGCAUAGGGAUCAGGAAAAUAGGUCUGUGGUUAAGGGAAGUAAUCAACUGACAGGAACCUACAGAAGGGUGCCAAAUAUUGCACUCUCACUCUCCUCGUUAUCACUAAUCUGCCAAGCCUCUCCUUUGGCUGAAUCUAACGAGAACCCAGAAGGCACGAAAGCCAUGUGACGGCAUUCAUAUAGAUUAUGCUCUAGGGGCAGACAGCUGCGAGAAGAGGAGGAAAGAGUAGACCUGGAGGACCAAAGGAAGAUAUCCUGCACGGAGCCCCAACUGGGCAUAGGGAAGGAGCAUCUACCAUUUGGAAGGCUUCUUCCAGUUCUGGUGCUUCCUGUCUUGGGUUAUACGAAAUACCCUUGCAUGUUUCCACAUUUCCUCUUUAGCCUAAGAUAUAAUGAGUGCUUUCUCUUAUUUGUAACAAAGCUAAUUUUGAUUUAAGCAGAAAAGUUCUGGCAACUUCAAAAUAUGAGUAGUAAGUCUCUGGCUGUAAAGUCAGAGGAGGAGGAGGGGCAUCCACACUGUCUUAUUCAGCCAUGGUUCUUUCUGAUGAAGCAAUGCCAGGAGCACACAUACAGCAAUUUUUUUUUUAUUCAACACAAUGGUUAGGCUGUGGUCUCUGUUUAGUUAUAUAAUGUAUUUGGAGAGAAACAUUUCAUGCAUUUUGGAUCAUGUGUUUAUUAUUUUGGAAUAAAGAAACAUCCAAUGCCAUUUGUUCCACUUUAAUCCCUGAACCCCACCAUUGUGGUAAAGACUGCCCCUACUUUUGAAAUCUAGGAUUAAAAUUUGCUGUUGCUAAUUUCUGGGGGAAUAUUUGGACUUCCCA